GACGAACGCUGGCGGCGUGCCUAACACAUGCAAGUCGAACGGGGGUAUUUAUUUCGAUGAAUACCUUAGUGGCGAACGGGUGAGUAACGCGUGAGCAACCUAUCCUUAAGAGGGGGAUAACAUCUGGAAACAGAUGCUAAUACCGCAUAAGACCACACUGCCGCAUGGCAGAGGGGUCAAAGGAGCAAUCCGUUUAAGGAGGGGCUCGCGUCCCAUUAGAUAGUUGGUGAGGUAACAGCUCACCAAGUCAGCGAUGGGUAGCCGAGCUGAGAGGCUGAUCGGCCAAACUGGAACUGAGACACGGGCCAGACUCCUACGGGAGGCAGCAGUGGGGAAUAUUGGGCAAUGGGGGGAACCCUGACCCAGCAACGCCGCGUGAGGGAAGAAGGCCUUCGGGUUGUAAACCUCUGUCAUUAGGGAAGAAGAAAGUGACGGUACCUAAUGAGGAAGCCCCGGCUAACUACGUGCCAGCCGCCGCGGUAAGAC
rnacentral:rRNA from 1 species